rnacentral:lncRNA from 1 species
UACCACAUCACCGUGUUCUCCAGGAACGUGCAGGUAUCUUUGGUCAAAAAUGGGGUAAAAGUCCUGCAUACCAAGGACGGUUACAUGAGCUCUGAGGACCAGGCGUCUGGUGGCAUCGUGCUGGAACUGAAGCUUGGGGACGAAGUGUGGAUGCAGGUGACAGGAGGAGAGAGGUUCAAUGGCUUAUUUGCAGAUGAGGAUGACGAUACCACAUUCACGGGCUUCCUUCUGUUCAGCAGCUCUUGACACAAAGGACUCUGCACGUGGGCCUCAUGGAGGGCUCUGCUGGUGAAUGUGGUGCCCACAGAACCAGCUUGGUGAGGGUAGGAUGUGACUACAUCCAUUCCUCCAGUUAUUGCAUCGAUUCUAAAGUGUACACACGACAAGUUAAUCCCGCAGAUUCCGUCAUUUGAACCCGUGAAUAAUAAACUAAGACUCACCAGCAA